rnacentral:rRNA from 1 species
CGCGUAGGCGGUUUGCACAGUCAGGCGUGAAAUUCCCGGGCUUAACCUGGGGGCUGCGUUUGAUACUCGCAGACUAGAGGAUGGAAGAGGGUCGUGGAAUUCCCAGUGUAGAGGUGAAAUUCGUAGAUAUUGGAAGAACACCGGUGGCGAAGGCGGCGACCUGGUCCAUUACUGACGCUGAGGCGCGACAGCGUGGGGAGCAAACA